rnacentral:misc_RNA from 1 species
UCACCACUCAAGCCAGGCUUGUUGUUGGAUCCCAGGUCGUGUUCUCCACCACCGGUCCCAAAGAUAAUGACGGAGUCCGCGAGGGCCCCAGUACAUUGAGCUUACUCCAAGCACGUAUUUGGUGGAACUCCGGAACCCGGUCUUACCUAUUUUUCACAA